rnacentral:misc_RNA from 1 species
GAUGAAGACGCAGCGAAAUGCGAUAAGUAAUGUGAAUUGCAGAAUUCAGUGAAUCAUCGAAUCUUUGAACGCACAUUGCGCCCGCCAGUAUACUGGCGGGCAUGCCUGUUCGAGCGUCAUUUCAACCAUCAAGCCCUGCUUGUGUUGGGGUCCUGCGGCUGCCCGCAGGCCCUGAAAACCAGUGGCGGGCUCGCUAGUCACACCGAGCGCAGUAGCACAUCUCGCUCAGGGCGUGCGGCGGGCUCCAGCCGUUAAAGCACCCACCUUUCGCAAGGUUGACCUCGGAUCAGGUAGGAAUACCCGCUGAACUUAAGCAUAUCAAUAAGCGGAGGA